rnacentral:rRNA from 1 species
GUAUAUAUUUAAAAAUUAAAAUCAUGCAUUCCUGAUUUUUCAAAAUAUUAAUUGCAAUUUAGGAACAAUUUUGUAGUUGCAAAUUAGAAACAUUAAUCAUGUGUACGCAUAUGCCUGACCUGACAUGGAGAUAGACCUAAGCUGGUCUAGCAUAGUUAACAGUUCAGACUAAUUCAUCUAAGAAAAUGUUCAGACCAAUUAGCAGACUACACAUUUUCGUUGCAGCUAUAGAGGGUGAUGCACUAGCAAUAUGUAGUGGAGCAGCACACAUUAAGACGAGGGCAGUGUGGUGCAUUAAUCCUCACCUGUGCCUAGUAAAUGUGAUGACACUAUAAUACCUCACUUUCCAACUUCAACGACGCUGGAUGGAGAGAGAUGGUGGUGCAGGCUUCAAAUGCAGUUAACGUUCCCAACCUGUGCCUAGUAAAUGAGGUCUGCUCCUAGUAAAUGAGUUGGGUCACGUUUAUCAAGCAUGUGGCCCCUUAUGCAUUGAUUGUUUUGUGGAAUAGAGAUUCAAUACUGCAAGGAGAAAUAUUCAAUAUACGUGAUAUGCUGCUUAUGGUAUGAAUACGAUACAAAUCUGAGAGAAAUGGAUGGUGAGAUAAAGACCUCGCGUGGCGCCAUGUUCACCUAUGCAUUUUUGAUACAAUGACUACUAAUAAAUACUAAAUUGUUUACCUUUAGAAGUGUAAAAAAACAUAGUUUGGAACUGGAAUCUGAGUGAUCCUCCGAUAUCGUCUGCUGCCCACUACCGAGAUGGAGUAAAGAUGAAGCGAGGCUGGUGGACCGAGAGAUGGAUGUCGCCGGAUGCCUGCGUCGCGUCGUCGGCCUGCCCGUGCCGCCGUGCGAUCAGGCGACGGCGGUCUGGCUGGCCGCCAUGCCGAACAGAACUCGGGAUGAGAUUGGGAGGCACCGGUUUGUCUCGUGUGAUUUGUUUUUGGCCAGUACUAAGCGCCGGUGCGCCGGCCCAAAUUUGGGCCGGUCGUAUCCUGUACGUCUGAUUAAAACUCUUUUAACCGUCAGAUUCUUUCGUCCCCACCACGCCGUUCUUUACUCUGCAAAUCACGCGAGUGCCAUGGACGAGCUACUUGACCCGUCGGAUCUCCACCGCUCGCCGCCUCUCUCCGCAGCUCCAAUUCGUCGUCGCUGCACACCCUCCUCAUCCCCCGUCGUUUCAGCACCACCCCCCGACGGAUGCAUCUUUGCCAAACGUCGGACGCAGCAACUCGCACUGGCUCCGCCCAUCACAGCACAACAUCGACGCCGCAGUCGACCUGCACCACCUGAUUCCACCAAAAAACACAUCUCAGCCCAAAAAAGAACUCCGGUGGGUAGUUGCAGCAAAACCAAAAAUUGGUUCCAACAGAAAAACAAAGGUUUCCAGCAAAUCAACUUGAGCACCUAGCAAACCCAGUAAUUUGCUUGAAGCAAAUUAAAUCACGAUUCCAGCAAAAUAUUAAUAUGGUUCCAGCAAAGAUGCGUCGCCGCCUCCUGAUCGUAGCAAAUAAUCUCAAGCAACAAGAAACUCGUCGCAGCAAAAUCAUUUGCCGGCUCUAGCAAAAAAAAAAGAUCCGGUUCCAGCAAAAAAUGACCUGGUUCCAGCAAAGAAGAUGAAUUAAGCUGAGCAAAAGCUGGAACCGAUGAUUCGAAAAGCUGGAACCGGUGAUUGAAAAAGAUUCAAUCAGAUGAAAAAAACUACAACCAUUGGUUUUGAAUUGACACUAAAAAUCCAAAAAAGCUACAACCGGCUGAAUAAAAUAAAAAGCUACAACCGGUGAUUUGGUAAGCUGGAACCGGUGAUUUGGAAUAUUUUUUUUGCAAAAAUCACAUCUAUUUGGACCAAAGCUGGAUCUAAAAGUGAUUAAAAAAAGAUUCAACCGGUUAAGAAGAAAGCUGCUACCAGCGAUUCAAAAAGCUACAACCGUGUGGGCAAAUCAAAAAUAGAAAAAAUCUUCCACCGGUGGCAUGGGAAGAUUUUAAUUGAAGCCGGGAUCACCGGAGCUGCACGGACAUGGAACGGCAGCCAACGGUGACUUGCAGCCCGCAGCAAAAAGUCUCCACUGCUGCCGAGGGCGCAGCAUCACCGGAGAGCGCGCGAUGGAUCUCUAGUCCCCUUCGAGCCGCCUGAUCUAGCUGCGCGCGGUGGUCAUCGAUGUGUGAAAAGAUAGAAUAGAUCGAGGAGGAAGCAGUGCAGGGCGAGAAAAAUGAAUGGAAGCGAAGCAUCCACGAAUGGAUAAGGCGAGGUGCUGGCGGUUGGUCAGCCACGCGUCCCCACCACGCGAGGGAGAUGGCGUACAGGCUAGCCAUACGAUGAAAAGAGAUCGUACGGGUCGCGUGCGACCGGCCGAACGCCGAACGCAAGCGUUUCC